rnacentral:rRNA from 2 species
GGCUCAGGACGAACGCUGGCGGCGUGCUUAACACAUGCAAGUCGAACGGUGAUGCAGAGCUUGCUCUGCGGAUCAGUGGCGAACGGGUGAGUAACACGUGAGUAACCUGCCCUUGACUCUGGGAUAAGCGUUGGAAACGACGUCUAAUACCGGAUACGACCCGUGGAGGCAUCUCCUACGGGUGGAAAGAACUUCGGUUGAGGAUGGACUCGCGGCCUAUCAGCUUGUUGGUGAGGUAAUGGCUCACCAAGGCGACGACGGGUAGCCGGCCUGAGAGGGUGACCGGCCACACUGGGACUGAGACACGGCCCAGACUCCUACGGGAGGCAGCAGUGGGGAAUAUUGCACAAUGGGCGCAAGCCUGAUGCAGCAACGCCGCGUGAGGGAUGACGGCCUUCGGGUUGUAAACCUCUUUUGGCAGGGAAGAAGCGAAAGUGACGGUACCUGCAGAAAAAGCACCGGCUAACUACGUGCCAGCAGCCGCGGUAAUACGUAGGGUGCAAGCGUUGUCCGGAAUUAUUGGGCGUAAAGAGCUCGUAGGCGGUUUGUCGCGUCUGCUGUGAAAACGCAAGGCUCAACCUUGCGCCUGCAGUGGGUACGGGCAGACUAGAGUGUGGUAGGGGAGAUUGGAAUUCCUGGUGUAGCGGUGGAAUGCGCAGAUAUCAGGAGGAACACCGAUGGCGAAGGCAGAUCUCUGGGCCAUUACUGACGCUGAGGAGCGAAAGCGUGGGGAGCGAACAGGAUUAGAUACCCUGGUAGUCCACGCCGUAAACGUUGGGAACUAGAUGUGGGGUCCAUUCCACGGAUUCCGUGUCGCAGCUAACGCAUUAAGUUCCCCGCCUGGGGAGUACGGCCGCAAGGCUAAAACUCAAAGGAAUUGACGGGGGCCCGCACAAGCGGCGGAGCAUGCGGAUUAAUUCGAUGCAACGCGAAGAACCUUACCAAGGCUUGACAUGCACCUGAAAAGGCUGGAAACAGUCUCCUCGCAAGACAGGUGCACAGGUGGUGCAUGGUUGUCGUCAGCUCGUGUCGUGAGAUGUUGGGUUAAGUCCCGCAACGAGCGCAACCCUCGUUCUAUGUUGCCAGCGCGUUAUGGCGGGAACUCAUAGGAGACUGCCGGGGUCAACUCGGAGGAAGGUGGGGAUGACGUCAAAUCAUCAUGCCCCUUAUGUCUUGGGCUUCACGCAUGCUACAAUGGCCGGUACAAAGGGCUGCAAUACCGUAAGGUGGAGCGAAUCCCAAAAAGCCGGUCUCAGUUCGGAUUGAGGUCUGCAACUCGACCUCAUGAAGUCGGAGUCGCUAGUAAUCGCAGAUCAGCAACGCUGCGGUGAAUACGUUCCCGGGCCUUGUACACACCGCCCGUCAAGUCAUGAAAGUCGGUAACACCCGAAGCCGGUGGCCCAACCUGUAAAGGAGGGAGCCGUCGAAGGUGGGAUCGGUAAUUAGGACUAAGUCGUAACAAGGUAGCCGUACCGGAAGGUGCGGCUGA